GUGGCCUCGGAUAAGUAGGAAUACCCGCUGACUUAGCAUAUA
rnacentral:rRNA from 1 species